rnacentral:rRNA from 1 species
UACAGAGGUGGCAAGCGUUGUUCGGAAUUAUUGGGCGUAAAGCGCACGUAGGCGGAUCUUUAAGUCAGGGGUGAAAUCCCGAGGCUCAACCUCGGAACUGCCCUUGAUACUGGGGAUCUCGAGUCCGGAAGAGGUUGGUGGAACUCCGAGUGUAGAGGUGAAAUUCGCAGAUAUCGGGAGGAACACCGGUGGCGAAGGCGGUUCUCUGGGCCAUUACUGACGCUGAGGAGCGAAAGCGUGGGGAGCGAACAGG